rnacentral:misc_RNA from 1 species
GACCUCCCAGAUUGUAACACCAGUGUGAAAGUUCCAGUUCCAAGACGUGAACUUAUCGGUGGAUUGGAAAAUUUAACUAGAGUUUUGAUAGAAGGGUUUAAUGUAACCUACAAGUUUAAUAAUUCCUGCGGCACCGACCCUUCUCCGACCCUUUUUGAAUGCCCUUGCCGAGAGAAGCCCGAUCGUGCUGGGUGUCCAAAAGGUACGACAAAUAUUAUUAUCCCCUCUAAAAACGUUGUGUUUUUCUUAGCC